UAACAGGAUUAGAUACCCUGGUAGUCCACCCCGUAAACGUUGGGAACUAGUUGUGGGGUCCAUUCCACGGAUUCCGUGACGCAGCUAACGCAUUAAGUUCCCCGCCUGGGGAGUACGGCCGCAAGGCUAAAACUCAAAGGAAUUGACGGGGACCCGCACAAGCGGCGGAGCAUGCGGAUUAAUUCGAUGCAACGCGAAGAACCUUACCAAGGCUUGACAUAUAGAGGAAACGUCUGGAAACAGUCGCCCCGCAAGGUCUCUAUACAGGUGGUGCAUGGUUGUCGUCAGCUCGUGUCGUGAGAUGUUGGGUUAAGUCCCGCAACGAGCGCAACCCUCGUUCUAUGUUGCCAGCACGUAAUGGUGGGAACUCAUGGGAUACUGCCGGGGUCAACUCGGAGGAAGGUGGGGAUGACGUCAAAUCAUCAUGCCCCUUAUGUCUUGGGCUUCACGCAUGCUACAAUGGCCGGUACAAAGGGCUGCAAUACCGUAAGGUGGAGCGAAUCCCAAAAAGCCGGUCCCAGUUCGGAUUGAGGUCUGCAACUCGACCUCAUGAAGUCGGAGUCGCUAGUAAUCGCAGAUCAGCAACGCUGCGGUGAAUACGUUCCCGGGUCUUGUACACACCGCCCGUCAAGUCAUGAAAGUCGGUAACACCUGAAGCCGGUGGCCCAACCCUUGUGGAGGGAGCCGUCGAAGGUGGGAUCGGUAAUUAGGACUAAGUCGUAACAAGGUAACCA
rnacentral:rRNA from 1 species